CUUUGACCCGGGAGCAACGAAUAACAAGUGGGUGGAACUAGCUAACGACUGCUUACAGCAUACGCCCUGAUUUGUUAGAUGUCGUUGCCUGAAGUGGUAGAUGUUCAAGAUUACCCAAUUAUGAAGAAUUAAGGUGGUCUUAAAAGGAAUCCAGAAGAAGAAGAGGCGGAGCCAGAAAUCAGAAAUUGGUCAAUAGUUAAGUUGGAACAAUGGAAAGAAUCAGUUAACUACUCACGACUGGACGCAUAACUUGUGAAGGUUUAAACUCCGUUUAUCCUGUCAUUAAGACUUGUGUGAUAGGAAAGUGAGAUUGUGUGUGUUACAAUAAUAAUUAAGAACAAAAAAAAAACACAUGUUUAACUUGCCCAGAAUUCUAAAGGAAACCGAACUCACAUAUUUUCUCUACGUGAUUUGCCUCCUGAGAGACCAACCGAGAAGAUCGAGAAUCGGCCAGUACACAGAAACAGUAGUCCAGAAGAAUAGAGAAGUUAUGUCCUGCAGCAGCACAUGAUUAGAUCAUCGAGGUUUCCCUUAGUGACUCCUAGCUCAUAAGGAAAAUAGUCAGAUAAAUUUGUUGCACAAUGGCAGUGAUAAAUGUUGGCCAUUCACAGAAUCUACAACUAUUGCAAAGAGGGUGAUUGCAGGUUCUUCAAAUAUCAAACUGCACAUGAGCAAACAACAAGCAAAAGUCCUGUAAGAUGUUUAACACCGUUCAACCUUGGCCACCUGUGUGGAAGUCGACCCCAUAUCCAAAAGGAUAAUGAGAAAAGUAAACAUUACCACAAAACAGUAUUAUUGUGACAGUGGAAUUGGUAAAUUAAAAAAACAAGCAGAAAAUUGGUUGGUGGGAAGAAAAUUUAAGAAUGUAUACAAAAAACUUGAACAUACUGUAGGUAGCAAAGAGUAUGUGAAGCUUUAUGUAGACAAUUAUGAACUAAUAAGGCAGAGGAAAACGGCAAAAAAUUGGGAAAGGCAAAAUUUCAUGUUUGUUUGAAAAAGAAAACAUUAGCCAAUUUUAUAAAGAGAAUUGUUGGGGGUAAGAAGGACGGCGUAUGUAUAGCGUAGGCAAAUUUGUUCCCACGGAUAAAGGGGAGAAAUACUCGAGUGUACACAACAGACUGUGCAAAUUAAUUCAUGAAAAAGUAGGUGCAGAAAAUUUCUUUCCAGUGGAUGAAUGGAUUACAUCGAAAAUAUGCCACAGAUGUCUAUAACCAGUGGAUAUUGUGGCAUAUAUAAGUGAACGAGAAGACACCACACAGGAGAACUCCACCACCAUCUGUGACAAAGUAUACUUGCGGGGGUUACGUCGUUGCUCCACAGAGUAAUCAUUCCAACAAAACAAUGGCAACCUUCCACAAGUUACUUGCCCAAUUGGAGGAGCAUUUAUCAACAGAGGUUGCAAUGCUGCCUACAGCAUAGCCAGUAAAGUUAUUUCUGCUGUACAUGCAUCAAGUAAUUUAUGAAGAGGCGUCAGAGCAGCAGAAAUAUUUUUGGCUUCAAUUUUGGCUGCCACUACUUGCAAGAAAGCUACACUACACCAUGCAGUACAACAACUGCGUACGUAGCACGCAGUGAUGGAUGUAAGACGUGCAUAUCGAUGUACUACACUGGUAUUGCCAAAGGUUGUCUUAGCUAAAGAAGGGAUGGCAAAGAAUUUACAAUUAUUUAUUCUCAUGAAUAAGACAUGCUUCCAGCCAGUGACACAAAUUUAUUUAUCUAUAAAAAAAAUCAUCAUCCAGCUUUCUUAGAAAGUCAUCCAUACAAGAAAUGACUGAACUGAAUGAAGUACAGUUUUGCAUAUUGGUUAGUAACCUGGGUUCCAGCUUGAUAAGGCUGUUGACUUCAUCUAUGAGGACUUUAUUAAUGUUUCCAUUUUUUGUGGGUGAGCUUAAGAGGGACAAGCACCAGAAACUACUUUGUGGCACAAAGAAGGUUAAUUGUAAGCAAGAAGUAAUGUGGAAAUAUAUAUAAAAAAAUUGAAAGCUGUUACUAGGUCCAAAAUACUUGUCACUAACUAAAGAAAGUGAAUUACAAAACGUCACAUCAAACGAUAAACAUAUACUAUACAUAUUCUUUGGUAAACAAAGUACUAAGGUGAGGGGGGAAUUAAUCUUUCCAUUACCAAGCAAAAAGGGUAAUAUCAGUAUACACUGUUAACAUCUUGCAUGUAAAAUCCAUUAUGCUUUAUUACAAACCAAUUAAAUAUUACUAACUCCUAUUAUUACCUUUUGAAAUAAUCAGCAUGAAAGUAAAUAUCAUAUAACAACAAUGAAAGUAAGUUACUAUGAACAAGAACAGUCCAUUAUUCUACA